CUUAAUCUGGUUUAGGCUGGACCUAGGCUGAAGCUGGACAUAAAUUUUGCAAUGCAAAAUGGUGAUUGCAGAUCGUGGACUUCCUUGCCUGUGUCUCCACAGUCCUAGACAUCUCUUCCCAUUUCAUGAAGUUGAGAUAUUGGGAGUAUGCAGAAGACUAUAAAAUCCAACAUCAAGAUGAGUUGCUGAAAGGUCUCCCUGGAAAAGAGCUUUGUCUAACAAGGCCUCAAGGAAGAAGUAUGUUGAGGCUGUGAACAUCUGCAUGAAGUAACUAUUUGCAAAGAGCAAUUUUUGAGGAAGGCUAAGUUCAGUGGUCCUAACAAACAACUGGUUUAUAAUUCUGUUGAGGAUACUCUUUGCAAAGUGACCUGUGACAAUUCCCCCAGUGUUUUAAUAGAGUUUUUGUAAAUCUCUACUUUCAAAAAACAGCAUGUAAAGAAGUGAAUCCCCUGAAGUUAUAGGAAGUUGCUUUCUGAGGAAAGAAGCAGCCCUCAAAAGAAAAGCAUUCUAACUGCUUUCUUGUACAAGGAUUUAGUCCAUUUCACCAGAAGACAAGCUUGAUUUGUUCAACAAAAUAAGGGAAAUGCCCAGUUAGAGAGAGGGGGUUUCUCAUCUUGCCUUAAACAUUAGUUUAGACAGAAAUUCUCACCUGGUAAAAAUCAGUAUUGUCGGUACAUCUGCAGUAACUGAAGUUUAAUAAUUUCAAAAUAAUUUAAUAAUUUCAAAAAAAAAGUUGAGUUGAACAUAAACUAACUCAAAUAAUAAAUUCAAAUAGUUGUAUGUUAUUUGAAUUCUU
rnacentral:lncRNA from 1 species